rnacentral:lncRNA from 1 species
CCAACAUCUCAAAGUCUCAAGUCAAAACCUCUCCAUCUGAUAAAGAAGUUCUGUCAGCUGCAAGCAAACUGAUUCCCUGUCUAUCUUUCUCCAGGAUGUGUGCACUACCCCAUGCAUGUAAUCCUCAAUGAGAGUCACCCGGGUGCACAAAUAAGAGAUCUCAAAGAAGGCUGCUUGGGUUGAAAGCAAAGGAUCCAGAGCCAAGUUGAGGCCACCUUAGAAGCUGGGAACCUUGUUACUGAGCAGGUCAAUACCAUCCAGCGAGGAGCCAACUGCAGGAGGCAGAAAAGCACCACUCACCACCUCCUGCAUGGGUGCGUUUGGCUGACAGCCGGAAAAAGAAAGAGCAACACUGAAAAUGUACUGGACAUGAUCACAUCUUGGGUAUUUAAUGCAAGUAGCUAAAUUACUGAGCGGGGUAUACAGCAGAUUUGCUCCUAGGCCUGGGAGUCCAUACAGCUGGGUUCUAAUCCUUGGCUCAUCUGCUGAUCUUGACUAAGUCACUUCCCCUCGG